GACGAACGCUGGCGGCGUGCCUAAUACAUGCAAGUAGAACGCACAGUUUAUACCGUAGCUUGCUACACCAUAGACUGUGAGUUGCGAACGGGUGAGUAACGCGUAGGUAACCUGCCUGGUAGCGGGGGAUAACUAUUGGAAACGAUAGCUAAUACCGCAUAAUAUUGAUUAUUGCAUGAUAAUUGAUUGAAAGAUGCUAUUGCAUCACUACCAGAUGGACCUGCGUUGUAUUAGCUAGUAGGUGAGGUAACGGCUCACCUAGGCGACGAUACAUAGCCGACCUGAGAGGGUGAUCGGCCACACUGAGACUGAGACACGGCCCAGACGCCUACGGGAGGCAGCAGGAGGGAAUCUGCGGCAAGGGACGAAAGUCUGACCGAGCAACGCCGCGGGAGUGAGGAGGGUUUUCGGAUCGUAAAGCUCGGUUGUAAGAGAAGAACGGGUGUGAGAGUGGAAAGUUCACUCUGUGACGGUAUCUUACCAGAAAGGGACGGCUAACUACGUG
rnacentral:rRNA from 1 species